UGAGACCACCAUCCAGCUUCCAGAAGUAAACGCUGCUACAGUCACACAAUGGUACAGCAGGCGGUGUCGGGCACAAGAAAAACUCAUUCUGAAUCAGGGCAUCCCACAACCUGCUGCUUCCAUGGCAGCAACAGAAAAACUUCCUGAUCCACUUCAGAAAGGACAACAGCUGCAAACGGGGACCUUGGCUGAGCCUCACAUUUUUGUAUUGCCACCAAACACUGCUGGGGAGGCAAAACUGAAACCGAGGCCACAGCGGCAGAUGCCAGCACCCCAAAACCCGGACUUCUUUCCUUUGUUGAGCUCUGCACCCAUCAUCAUGCAAUCAGGGUCCAGUUCACAGGUGUUGGUUCCACCCAUUUUGAACAUUCCUCUCGGUGUAGUCAUGCCGCCUCCUGCUAUGAUAAUCAAAGACUCUGUCCCACCAUCACCUCAGCCUGCUUCAAACACACCAUACACAACACAACAAUACAGAAAGAGAAAGAUGGAAGCAGAGCAAAUAGGUGUCACCAAAAGGAAAUAUGUUAAAAAGAUCGAUCACAUAACAUGCAGCAAAUGUGGUGCAAACAGACAGCCACCAUCACACCGUCAGUACUUUGGAAACUGGUUUUGUGAAGCCACGGAGACUCAAACAUAUGACAGUUGGAGAGCAGAACUAGAGAAACGUGGAUAUGGUAAAAAAAAAAA